rnacentral:misc_RNA from 1 species
GAAAUGCGAUAAGUAAUGUGAAUUGCAGAAUUCAGUGAAUCAUCGAAUCUUUGAACGCACAUUGCGCCCCUUGGUAUUCCGGGGGGCAUGCCUGUUCGAGCGUCAUUAUAACCCUCAAGCCUAGCUUGGUGUUGGAGCAUGCUACCUAGCAGUUCUUAAAAUCAGUGGCAGUGCCCUUCGGCUCUAAGCGUAGUAACUUCUCUCGCUAUGGAACCCGGAUAGUACGCGCCAAAACCCCCAACUUUCUAUGGUUGACCUCGGAUCAGGUAGGGAUACCCGCUGAACUUAA